GCGCAGCAGUCGAGAAUCCUUCGCAAUGCGGGAAACCGCGACGAGGGGACUCCCAGUGCCUACGCUCAGCGUAGGCUGUUCCCGAGCCUAGAAAGCUCGGGGAGUAAGGGCUGGGUAAGACGGGUGCCAGCCGCCGCGGUAAUACCCGCAGCCCGAGUGGUGGCCACUAUUAUUGGGCCUAAAGCGUCCGUAGCCGGCCCGGUAAAUGCCUGGGUAAAUCGUGAGGCCUAACCUCUCGAAUUCCGGGUAGACUGCCGGGCUAGGGACCGGAGGAGGGAGAGGGGUACUCCAGGGGUAGGGGUGAAAUCCUGUAAUCCCUGGAGGACCACCGGUGGCGAAGGCGCUCUCCUAGGACGGGUCCGACGGUGAGGGACGAAAGCCAGGGGAGCGAACCGGAUUAGAUACCCCUGUAGU
rnacentral:rRNA from 1 species